rnacentral:rRNA from 2 species
CGGUGGUCCCACCUGACCCCAUGCCGAACUCAGAAGUGAAACGCCGUAGCGCCGAUGGUAGUGUGGGGUCUCCCCAUGUGAGAGUAGGGAACUGCCAGGCA